rnacentral:rRNA from 1 species
CAUGCAGUCAAACGGUAACAGGUCUUCGGAUGCUGACGAGUGGCGAACGGGUGAGUAAUGUAUCGGAACGUGCCCAGUAGUGGGGGAUAACUACUCGAAAGAGUGGCUAAUACCGCAUGAGAACUGAGGUUGAAAGCGGGGGACCUUCGGGCCUCGCGCUACUGGAGCGGCCGAUAUCAGAUUAGGUAGUUGGUGGGGUAAAGGCCUACCAAGCCGACGAUCUGUAGCUGGUCUGAGAGGACGACCAGCCACACUGGGACUGAGACACGGCCCAGACUCCUACGGGAGGCAGCAGUGGGGAAUUUUGGACAAUGGACGCAAGUCUGAUCCAGCAAUGCCGCGUGCAGGACGAAGGCCUUCGGGUUGUAAACUGCUUUUGUACAGAACGAAAGGGCUCUGGUUAAUACCUGGGGCAGAUGACGGUACUGUAAGAAUAAGCACCGGCUAACUACGUGCCAGCAGCCCCA